rnacentral:rRNA from 1 species
AGAGUUUGAUCCUAGCUCAGGGUGAACGCUAGCGGUGCGCCUAACACAUGCAAGUCGAGCGGUAGUAGAGAAAAGCUUGCUUUUUUCUAUGAGAGCGGCGAACGGGUGAGUAAUACGUUGGUAUCUGCCUCAAAGUCAGGGAUAGCUCAUCGAAAGAUGAAUUAAUACCGGAUAGUCUCUACGGAGUAAAAAUUUAUUGCUUUGAGAGGAGCCUACGUUCUAUCAGCUUGUUGGUAAGGUAAAAGCUUACCAAGGCUAUGACGGAUAACUGGUCUGAGAGGAUGAUCAGUCACAAUGGAACUGAGACACGGUCCAUACUCCUACGGGAGGCAGCAGUGAGGAAUCUUCCACAAUGGACGAAAGUCUGAUGGAGCGACACCGCGUGAAGGAUGAAGGUCUAACGAUUGUAAACUUCUUUUCUGAGGGAGCAUAAUGAGAGUACCUCAGGAAUAAGGGACGGCUAAAUACGUGCCAGCAGCCGCGGUAAUACGUAUGUCCCAAGUGUUACCCGGAAUCACUGGGUGUAAAGGGUUCGUAGGCGGUUUAGUAAGUUGAAUAUUAAAGACCGAAGCUCAACUUCGUGUUUGUCUUCAAAACUGCUAAACUAGAAUCAGGGAGAGGUAAGCGGAAUUCUGAGUGUAGGGGUGCAAUCCGUAGAUACUCAGAGGAACACCAAAAGCGAAGGCAGCUUACUGGAACUGUAUUGACGCUCAUGAACGAAAGCGUGGGUAGCGAAAAGGAUUAGAUACCCUUGUAGUCCACGCCCUAAACGAUGAUAACUAAGUGUUGUGACUUGCUCGCAGUGCUGAAGCUAACGCGUUAAGUUAUCCACCUGAGGAGUACGGGCGCAAGCUUAAAACUCAAAGGAAUAGACGGGGACCCACACAAGCAGUGGAUCACGUGGUUUAAUUCGACAAUAAACGGGGAACCUUACCCAGACUUGACAUCUACCGAAUCUUCUAGAGAUAGAAGAGUGCUUUUAUUAGAGCGGUAAGACAGGUGCUGCAUGGUUGUCGUCAGCUCGUGCCUUGAGGUGUUCGGUUAAGUCCGUUAACGAGCGCAACCCAUGUCGUUAGUUAUUAUGUCUUGCGAGACUGCCUUGGUUAACAAGGAGGAAGGUGUGGAUGACGUCAAAUCAGCAUGGCUUUUACGUCUGGGGCUACACACAUGAUACAAUGGUCUGUACAAAGAGCAGCAAUACGGUAACGUUGAGCCAAUCUUUAAAGCAGAUCUCAGUCCGGAUUGAGGUCUGAAAUUCGACCUCAUGAAGUUGGAAUUGCUAGUAAUCGUGAAUCAGAUAUGUCACGGUGAAUAUGUUCCUGGGUCUUGUACUCACCGCCCGUCAUGGCAUGGAAGGUAAUAAUAUCGGAAGUUCCCUCAGUAAUAGAGGGGCCCAUGGUAGGAUUACUGACUGGGCUAAAGUCGUAACAAGGUAACC